ACACACACACACACACACAUACAUAUACAUAUAUAUAGAUUGGGAGAUUUUGCUCUGUUAAGAUUUUAGGAUUCUUCAUAACCCCCUGGAAUAAUUCUCUUUUCCAAACCCCAGCCCAUGAAUCCAAACUAUAAGAUAGCUUCCAACACUCUCCUUCAGAAGAAGUAGUUUUGCAAAAAGGAAAUUUCUAACACUACUUGUAGGCAUGGAGAAUUCUGGAAUGACAGAAAUCAUACCUGCACAGAGUUUUUAGGUAUAAAUCAAGAUGUAAAGGAACAGGAGUUUUUCAUAUAUGAAUGAACCAUCUCAAAAUAGGAUGGGCAAUUAGUGGGGUUUAUUUCUAAAGUCUGUAAACCGUAAGUAAAAUUUUCAGUUCCGCCAACUGGCUGAACUGACAAACUUCUGGCCAAGGGGACCCUAGAAAGACCUGAAAACCUGAAUUUCCAGCCGUAACUGGAAGGGAGGUUGGACACACCUCAUUAUAUCCCCUCCCUUUUGGAGCUUAGGCAUAAGUGACAGGCAUUAAAGUUAAAACAGAGAUCCUAAGACUGACAAAAAAGAAUCCUUGUGGCAAUAAAAUGCUAAAUUCCAACCUGAUUCUAGUAUAACAUCACAUGACAGAAAUGACAGAAAGCACAUCCCGAAGGAAAUAAAAUAUUUUACCAUAAAAUAUAUUUCUUUGACAUAUUUUGAAAUGACAGCAAAGCUGUCUUUUGUGGGGGAAAUUUGCAUCAGUAGAGAAUCUCCAUUAAUGCGGCCAGGCCUUCCCUUUCCAGACCUUUUUCAGAUCUAGAAAAGAUUAAGUAAGAGUCUGAAAACUUUCAAGUUCCCAAAAGACACAUUUACCAUCUAUUCUCUGUAAGGACUGCAACUCCUGAGGCUUCAUCUACAUAACAGAAACCUUGGUCAUCACAACACCCCCAAUCUUAACUUGAGCAUUUCUGCCUACUAACUUCAAGUCUUUAGACAAAGACUUCCAGUCUAAAGAUAAAGCUUAACUCUUACAACAAAUUCCAAAUCAGAAAUUAUUAUUAUUAUUAUUAUUUUGAGAUGGCGCCACUCUGUCGCCCAGACUGGAGUGCAGUGGCACAAUCUUGGCUCACUGUAACCUCCACCUCCUGGAUUUAAGCAAUUAUCCUGCCCCAGCCUCCAGAGUAGCUGGGAUUGUGCCACCAUGAUCGGCUAAUUUUUGUAUUUUUUUUUUUUUUAGUAGAGACAGGGUUUCACCAUGUUGGCCCGGCUGACCUCGAACUCCUGACCUCAGGUGAUCUGCCCACCUUGGCUUCUCAAAGUGCUGGUAUUACAAAUGUAAGCCACCAUGCCCAGCCCAGAAAAUCUUUGAAUCCACCUCAGGAUACCUGUAGGCCUCAGGAUCUCUUGAGACUGUUCCCCAGGCCAUGGUCACUCAUAUUAGCUUGGAAUAAACCUCUUUAAAUAUUUCACAGUGUUUGUUUUUUCUGAUAACAAAUCAGUAGCUAAGGUAGGAAUUCUUCAGAUGGAUUUGAAAGCAUGUUUUUUAUUCAGAAUCAAUUUGAACUUUUAUUUUUAUGGACUGCUAUAUUUUCUUUUUUUGCUAUAUUUUUGCUAUUUAUUUGCUACCCUUCUUCUUCUUGUUACUUUUUGAGACAGGGUUUUGCUUUAUGGCCCAGGCAGGUGCACAGUGGCUCAAUCAGGGCUCACUGCAGCCUUGACCUCCCGGACUCAAGCAAUCCUCCUACCUCAGCCUCCCAAGUAGCUGGGACCACAGACACAUAUCAAUAUGCCUGGCUAAUUUUUUAAUUUUGUAGAGACAGGGUCUCGCCAUUUUGCCCAGGCUUGUCUUGAACUCCUGGAAUCAAGUAAUGCUCCUGCCUUGGCCUCCCAAAGUUCGGGGAUUACAGGCAUGAGCCAUUGUGCCCAGACUAUUUGCUAUUAUUUUAAUUUUGCUUCAUGUUCAUCUAUUUUCAUAGAUGUUGGAAGGGAGUGUUGUCUGAGAAACCACAUCUCAUCUGAAUUACUCACCUUUCUAUCCUUUUACAUUGGUAUAACCUCAGGAGCCCUUCCUUGCUUUUGGUAGACCUGCAAGAACAAACCCAUUGAGAUGGCUACAGAAUGAGAAGGGAAGCUUUUUCAUGGUGUAAGAAGUAAGAAAAAUUGAUUAGGAAGAACUCUGUGGGUAAGGAGAAAGAAAACCUACUAGGAGACCAUUAUUGCAGUGAAGAGCAUAGAACAAGGCUCUCUGGAAACUUAAGGGAAUCAUAAUAUGCCUGAGAAAACAUAAACAAAAAUUAUCUUAAUGACAAAUAAGUGCUUCGGAAAUAAACAAAGGCCAAAAUCUGUUAGAGAUGGUAGGUAGACAGCUCUCAUAUUUCCGUGGAUUGCAUCCUCAUGAAGGAUUUUCAACUUGUCUUUCAUUUUGAAAUUGAAUAAAUAUUGGAAUGCAUUAUCAUCCACCCUCCCUACAUUCAUCUAUAAAAGGAGACAUGACAGAUGUAAAGUUCCUAUCAAUAUGUGAACAGCAGAGGGAAAAAUGAGGCUGCACCCUGAAUUGAAGUGAUCCUAUCUCUUUAAGCCUCUUUCACACUGGAGAGCUACAGGAAGCCUGAGUUUGAAAUCAUUUGGUCCAGACAGAAGAGGAGAAGCAAGGACCGAGUGUCAUGAAGAGGGAAACAUUGCCAGACUGUCAGAGGUUACCUAAUAUCCUUUGAUGGGUUUCCUCCUGUUUCCCUGAAUCUGGGAUGACUGUCCCCUUGAACUGCUCCGGUAUCUUAGCCAAUGGACAAUGUAUUGUUACUCCCCUCCUUAUCUAUUCGUGGUUUUUGCACACAUACCAUGAACUCAUAAGUGUUGAAGGAUCUCGACGUGUAAAAAUAUUUGUAAGAACAAGUUCAGUGACUAGAAAUUUGCUAGCUGGUUUGAAAUAAAGAGAUACACAUAAAACUAUAUUAUGAACUGGGAUCACCCAAAUUAUCUUCUGCAGGACAUUAUUCUACUAGAAAAUAUGGACAAAAUCAUAAGGACAAUUGUCAGUUUGAUGCUGACAAAAUUUUGUAAAAUUCCUUAUAUUAAAACCACUCUUCACUAUUAGCAGGAGACUACACAUGUUCUAAUGGUCUGAGAAAUACUGC
rnacentral:lncRNA from 1 species